rnacentral:rRNA from 1 species
GACGAGCGCUGGCGGCGUGCUUAACACAUGCAAGUCGAACGGAAAGGCCUGCUUUCCCUUGUGGAUUGCGGGUACUCGAGUGGCGAACGGGUGAGUAACACGUGAGUGAUCUGCCCCCAACUUGGGUAUAAGCCUGGGAAACUGGGUCUAAUUCCCGAUAGGACUGCAGGGUGGUGCCUGUGGUGGAAAACGAUUUUCUAGUGGUUGGGGAUGAGCUCGCGGCCUAUCAGCUUGUUGGUGGGGUAAUGGCCUACCAAGGCGGCGACGGGUAGCCGGCCUGAGAGGGUGGACGGCCACAUUGGGACUGAGAUACGGCCCAGACUCCUACGGGAGGCAGCAGUGGGGAAUAUUGCACAAUGGGCGGAAGCCUGAUGCAGCGACGCCGCGUGGGGGAUGACGGCCUUCGGGUUGUAAACUCCUUUCGACCGCGAGGAAGCCACCUGGUUGGAAGGGUGGUGACGGUAGUGGUAGAAGAAGCACCGGCUGACUACGUG